rnacentral:rRNA from 1 species
UACGUAGGGGGCUAGCGUUGUCCGGAAUCAUUGGGCGUAAAGCGCGCGUAGGCGGCCCGGUAAGUCCGCUGUGAAAGUCAAAGGCUCAACCUUUGAAUGUCAGCGGAUACUGCCGGGCUAGAGUCCGGAAGAGGCGAGUGGAACUCCUGGUGUAGCGGUGGAAUGCGCAGAUAUCAGGAGGAACACCUAUUGCGAAGGCAGCUCGCUGGGACGUAACUGACGCUGAGACGCGAAAGCGUGGGGAGCAAACAGG